GACGAACGCUGGCGGCGUGCUUAACACAUGCAAGUCGAACGGAAAGGCCCUGCUUUUGUGGGGUGCUCGAGUGGUGAACGGGUGAGUAACACGUGAGUAACCUGCCCUUGACUUUGGGAUAACUUCAGGAAACUGGGGCUAAUACCGGAUAGGAGCUCCUGCUGCAUGGUGGGGGUUGGAAAGUUUCGGCGGUUGGGGAUGGACUCGCGGCUUAUCAGCUUGUUGGUGGGGUAGUGGCUUACCAAGGCUUUGACGGGUAGCCGGCCUGAGAGGGUGACCGGCCACAUUGGGACUGAGAUACGGCCCAGACGCCUACGGGAGGCAGCAGUGGGGAAUAUUGCACAAUGGGCGGAAGCCUGAUGCAGCAACGCCGCGUGCGGGAUGACGGCCUUCGGGUGGGAAACCGCUUUCGCCUGUGACGAAGCGUGAGUGACGGUAAUGGGUAAAGAAGCACCGGCUAACUACGUG
rnacentral:rRNA from 1 species